rnacentral:rRNA from 1 species
UACGUAGGGCGCAAGCGUUGUCCGGAAUUAUUGGGCGUAAAGAGCUCGUAGGCGGUUUGUCGCGUCUGCUGUGAAAACCUAAGGCUCAACCUUGGGCUUGCAGUGGGUACGGGCAGACUAGAGUGCGGUAGGGGUGACUGGAAUUCCUGGUGUAGCGGUGGAAUGCGCAGAUAUCAGGAGGAACACCGAUGGCGGAGGCAGGUCACUGGGCCGCAACUGACGCUGAGGAGCGAAAGCAUGGGGAGCGAACAGG